rnacentral:rRNA from 1 species
UACGAAGGGUGCAAGCGUUAAUCGGAAUUACUGGGCGUAAAGCGUGCGCAGGCGGCUUUGCAAGACAGAUGUGAAAUCCCCGGGCUCAACCUGGGAACUGCAUUUGUGACUGCAAGGCUUGAAUCUGGCAGAGGGGGAUGGAAUUCCGCGUGUAGCAGUGAAAUGCGUAGAUAUGCGGAGGAACACCAAUGGCGAAGGCAAUCCCCUGGGCCUGUACUGACGCUCAUGCACGAAAGCGUGGGGAGCAAACAGG